rnacentral:lncRNA from 1 species
UUGUCUCCGUUUCUCUAGGGAAUAGCAAUUUUAUAGUGGUUAGUCUAAUGAUUUAGGGAGUAUUUGCAGUUUUGCUAAAUUAAUGGAUAAAAAAUUAGAACGAUGUCCAUGUACCAUGAAAAGAAGUUUAUCAUACAUUAAUACAAAGUUAUAAUGUGGUUUUAAAUUUUAAAACAAAUUUAGAGAUUAUAGGCUUCAUAUAAAGAGCAUUUACCGAAAACUCACUAUUUUCGUAGGGGUUAACCCAUAGAUUUUGAAAAAAAUCAAAAAAAUUGAAAAUACUGUUUUAAUACAUAUUUGAAUCAAGUAAAAAAAUAUGAUGAAGUUCAAAGAGGUUUGGAACCUUUGUUGUCUCCGUUUCUCUAGGGAAUAGCAAUUUUAUAGUGGUUAGUCUAAUGAUUUAGGGAGUAUUUGCAGUUUUGCUAAAUUAAUGGAUAAAAAAUUAGAACGAUGUCCAUGUACCAUGAAAAGAAGUUUAUCAUACAUAAAUACAAAGUUAUAAUGUGGUUUUAAAUUUUAAAACAAAUUUAGAGAUUAUAGGCUUCAUAUAUAGAGCAUUUACCGAAAACUCACUAUUUUCGUAGGGGGGUACACAUAGAUUUUGAGAAAAAUUCAAAAAUUUUGAAAAUACUGUUUUAAUACAUAUUUGAAUCAUGUAAUAAUAUAUGAUGAAGUUCAAAGAGGUUUGGAACCUUUGUUGUCUCCGUUUCUCUAGGGAAUAGCAAUUUUAUAGUGGUUAGUCCAAUGAUUUAGGGAGUAUUUGCAGUAAAUUAAUGGAUAAAAAAUUAGAACGAUGUCCAUGUACCAUGAAAAGAAGUUUAUCAUACAUUAAUACAAAGGUAUAAUGUGGUUUUAAAUUUUAAAACAAAUUUAAAGAUUAUAGGCUUCAUAUAUAGAGCAUUUACCGAAAACUCACUAUUUUCGUAGGGGUUAACACAUAGAUUUUGAAAAAAAUUCAAAAAAUUGAAAAUACUGUUUUAAUACAUAUUUGAAUCAUGUAAUAAAAUAUGAUGAAGUUCAAAGAGGUUUGGAACCUUUGUUGUCUCCGUUUCUCUAGGAAUAACAAUUUUAUAGUGGUUAGUCUAAUGAUUUAGGGAGUAUUUACAGGUUUGCUAAAUUAAUGGAUAAAAAAUUAGAACGAUGUCCAUGUACCAUGAAACGAAGUUUAUCAUACAUUAAUACAAAGGUAUAAUGUGGUUUUAAAUUUUAAAACAAAUUUAAAGAUUAUAGGCUUCAUAUAUAGAGCAUUUACCGAAAACUCACUAUUUUCGUAGGGGGGUACACAUAGAUUUUGAGAAAAUUCAAAAAAUUUGACAAUACUGUUUUAAUACAUAUUUGAAUCAUGUAAUAAAAUAUGAUGAAGUUCAAAGAGGUUUGGAACCUUUGUUGUCUCCGUUUCUCUAGGGAAUAGCAAUUUUAUAGUGGUUAGUCUAAUGAUUUAGGGAGUAUUUGCAGUUUUGCUAAAUUAAUGGAUAAAAAAUUAGAACGAUGUCCAUGUACCAUGAAAAGAAGUUUAUCAUACAUUAAUACAAAGGUAUAAUGUGGUUUUAAAUUUUAAAACAAAUUUAAAGAUUAUAGGCUUCAUAUAUAGAGCAUUUACCGAAAACUCACUAUUUUCGUAGGGGGGUACACAUAGAUUUUGAGAAAAAUUCAAAAAAUUUGAAAAUACUGUUUUAAUACAUAUUUGAAUCAUGUAAUAAUAUAUGAUGAAGUUCAAAGAGGUUUGGAACCUUUGUUGUCUCCGUUUCUCUAAGGAAUAGCAAUUUUAUAGUGGUUAGUCUAAUGAUUUAGGGAGUAUUUGCAGUUUUGCUAAAUUAAUGGAUAAAAAAUUAGAACGAUGUCCAUGUACCAUGAAAAUAAGUUUAUCAUACAUUAAUACAAAGGUAUAAUGUGGUUUUAAAUUUUAAAACAAAUUUAAAGAUUAUAGGCUUCAUAUAUAGAACAUUUACCGAAAACUCACUAUUUUCGUAGGGGGGUACACAUAGAUUUUGAGGAAAAUUUGAAAAUACUGUUUUAAUACAUAUUUGAAUCAUGUAAUAAUAUAUGAUGAAGUUCAAAGAGGUUUGGAACCUUUGUUGUCUCCGUUUCUCUAGGGAAUAGCAAUUUUAUAGUGGUUAGUCCAAUGAUUUAGGGAGUAUUUGCAGUAAAUUAAUGGAUAAAAAAUUAGAACGAUGUCCAUGUACCAUGAAAAGAAGUUUAUCAUACAUUAAUACAAAGGUAUAAUGUGGUUUUAAAUUUUAAAACAAAUUUAAAGAUUAUAGGCUUCAUAUAUAGAGCAUUUACCGAAAACUCACUAUUUUCGUAGGGGUUAACCCAUAGAUUUUGAAAAAAAUCAAAAAAUUUGAAAAUACUGUUUUAAUACAUAUUUGAAUCAUGUAAAAAAAUAUGAUGAAGUUCAAAGAGGUUUGGAACCUUUGUUGUCUCCGUUUCUCUAGGGAAUAGCAAUUUUAUAGUGGUUAGUCUAAUGAUUUAGGGAGUAUUUGCAGUUUUGCUAAAUUAAUGGAUAAAAAAUUAGAACGAUGUCCAUGUACCAUGAAAAGAAGUUUAUCAUACAUUAAUACAAAGUUAUAAUGUGGUUUUAAAUUUUAAAACAAAUUUAAAGAUUAUAGGCUUCAUAUAUAGAGCAUUUACCGAAAACUCACUAUUUUCGUAGGGGGGUACACAUAGAUUUUGAGAAAAAUUCAAAAAAUUUGAAAAUACUGUUUUAAUACAUAUUUGAAUCAUGUAAUAAUAUAUGAUGAAGUUCAAAGAGGUUUGGAACCUUUGUUGUCUCCGUUUCUCUAGGGAAUAGCAAUUUUAUAGUGGUUAGUCCAAUGAUUUAGGGAGUAUUUGCAGUAAAUUAAUGGAUAAAAAUUAGAACGAUGUCCAUGUACCAUGAAAAGAAGUUUAUCAUACAUUAAUACAAAGGUAUAAUGUGGUUUUAAAUUUUAAAACAAAUUUAAAGAUUAUAGGCUUCAUAUAUAGAGCAUUUACCGAAAACUCACUAUUUUCGUAGGGGUUACACAUAGAUUUUGAAAAAAAUCAAAAAAUUGAAAAUACUGUUUUAAUACAUAUUUGAAUCAUGUAAUAAAAUAUGAUGAAGUUCAAAGAGGUUUGGAACCUUUGUUGUCUCCGUUUCUCUAGGGAAUAGCAAUUUUAUAGUGGUUAGUCUAAUGAUUUAGGGAGUAUUUGCAGUUUUGCUAAAUUAAUGGAUAAAAAAUUAGAACGAUGUCCAUGUACCAUGAAAAGAAGUUUAUCAUACAUUAAUACAAAGGUAUAAUGUGGUUUUAAAUUUUAAAACAAAUUUAAAGAUUAUAGGCUUCAUAUAUAGAGCAUUUACCGAAAACUCACUAUUUUCGUAGGGGGGUACACAUAGAUUUUGAGAAAAAUUCAAAAAAUUUGAAAAUACUGUUUUAAUACAUAUUUGAAUCAUGUAAUAAUAUAUGAUGAAGUUCAAAGAGGUUUGGAACCUUUGUUGUCUCCGUUUCUCUAGGGAAUAGCAAUUUUAUAGUGGUUAGUCUAAUGAUUUAGGGAGUAUUUGCAGUUUUGCUAAAUUAAUGGAUAAAAAAUUAGAACGAUGUCCAUGUACCAUGAAAAGAAGUUUAUCAUACAUUAAUACAAAGUUAUAAUGUGGUUUUAAAUUUUAAAACAAAUUUAAAGAUUAUAGGCUUCAUAUAUAGAGCAUUUACCGAAAACUCACUAUUUUCGUAGGGGGGUACACAUAGAUUUUGAGAAAAAUUCAAAAAAUUUGAAAAUACUGUUUUAAUACAUAUUUGAAUCAUGUAAUAAUAUAUGAUGGAGUUCAAAGAGGUUUGGAACCUUUGUUGUCUCCGUUUCUCUAGGGAAUAGCAAUUUUAUAGUGGUUAGUCUAAUGAUUUAGGGAGUAUUUGCAGUUUUGCUAAAUUAAUGGAUAAAAAAUUAGAACGAUGUCCAUGUACCAUGAAAAGAAGUUUAUCAUACAUUAAUACAAAGGUAUAAUGUGGUUUUAAAUUUUAAAACAAAUUUAAAGAUUAUAGGCUUCAUAUAUAGAGCAUUUACCGAAAACUCACUAUUUUCGUAGGGGGUACACAUAGAUUUUGAGAAAAAUUUGAAAAAUUUGAAAAUACUGUUUUAAUACAUAUUUGAAUCAUGUAAUAAUAUAUGAUGAAGUUCAAAGAGGUUUGGAACCUUUGUUGUCUCCGUUUCUCUAGGGAAUAGCAAUUUUAUAGUGGUUAGUCCAAUGAUUUAGGGAGUAUUUGCAGUAAAUUAAUGGAUAAAAAAUUAGAACGAUGUCCAUGUACCAUGAAAAGAAGUUUAUCAUACAUUAAUACAAAGUAUAAUGUGGUUUUAAAUUUUAAAACAAAUUUAAAGAUUAUAGGCUUCAUAUAUAGAGCAUUUACCUAAAACUCACUAUUUUCGUAGGGGUUAACACAUAGAUUUUGAGAAAAAUUGAAAAAAUUGAAAAUACUGUUUUAAUACAUAUUUGAAUCAAGUAAAAAAAUAUGAUGAAGUUCAAAGAGGUUUGGAACCUUUGUUGUCUCCGUUUCUCUAGGGAAUAGCAAUUUUAUAGUGGUUAGUCUAAUGAUUUAGGGAGUAUUUGCAGUUUUCCUAAAUUAAUGGAUAAAAAAUUAGAACGAUGUCCAUGUACCAUGAAAAGAAGUUUAUCAUACAUUAAUACAAAGUUAUAAUGUGGUUUUAAAUUUUAAAACAAAUUUAAAGAUUAUAGGCUUCAUAUAUAGAGCAUUUACCGAAAACUCACUAUUUUCGUAGGGGGGUGGGUACACAUAGAUUUUGAGAAAAAUUCAAAAAUUUUGAAAAUACUGUUUUAAUACAUAUUUGAAUCAUGUAAUAAUAUAUGAUGAAGUUCAAAUAGAUUUGGAACCUUUGUUGUCUCCGUUUCUCUAGGGAAUAGCAAUUUUAUAGUGGUUAGUCCAAUGAUUUAGGGAGUAUUUGCAGUAACUUAAUGGAUAAAAAAUUAGAACGACGUCCAUGUACCAUGAAAAGAAGUUUAUCAUACAUUAAUACAUAGGUAUAAUGUGGUUUUAAAGAGGUUCAAAAUUUGAAAAUUUUGAAAAAAACUGUUUAAUACUAUAUUUGAAUCAUGUAAUAAUAUAUGAUGAAGUUCAAAUAGAUUUGGAACCUUUGUUGUCUCCGUUUCUCUAGGGAAUAGCAAUUUUAUAGUGGUUAGUCCAAUGAUUUAGGGAGUAUUUGCAGUAACUUAAUGGAUAAAAAAUUAGAACGACGUCCAUGUACCAUGAAAAGAAGUUUAUCAUACAUUAAUACAUAGGUAUAAUGUGGUUUUAAAGAGGUUCAAAAUUUGAAAAUUUUGAAAAAACUGUUUUAAUAUAUAUUUGAAUCAUGUAAUAAUAUAUGAUGAAGUUCAAAGAGAUUUGGAACCUUUGUUGUCUCCGUUUCUCUAGGGAAUAGCAAUUUUAUAGUGGUUAGUCCAAUGAUAUAGGGAGUAUUUGCAGUAAAUUAAUGGAUAAAAAAUUAGAACGAUGUCCAUGUACCAUGAAAAGAAGUUUAUCAUACAUUAAUACAAAGGUAUAAUGUGGUUUUAAAUUUUAAAACAAAUUUAGAGAUUAUAGGCUUCAUAUAAAGAGCAUUUACCGAAAACUCACUAUUUUCGUAGGGGUUAACCCAUAGAUUUUGAAAAAAAUCAAAAAUUUUGAAAAUACUGUUUUAAUACAUAUUUGAAUCAUGUAAUAAUAUAUGAUGAAGUUCAAAGAGGUUUGGAACCUUUGUUGUCUCCGUUUCUCUAGGGAAUAGCAAUUUUAUAGUGGUUAGUCUAAUGAUUUAGGGAGUAUUUGCAGUUUUCCUAAAUUAAUGGAUAAAAAAUUAGAACGAUGUCCAUGUACCAUGAAAAGAAGUUUAUCAUACAUUAAUACAAAGUUAUAAUGUGGUUUUAAAUUUUAAAACAAAUUUAGAGAUUAUAGGCUUCAUAU